rnacentral:misc_RNA from 1 species
GAUGAAGAACGUAGCGAAAUGCGAUAAGUAAUGUGAAUUGCAGAAUUCAGUGAAUCAUCGAAUCUUUGAACGCACCUUGCGCUCCUUGGUAUUCCGAGGAGCAUGCCUGUUUGAGUGUCAUGAAAUUCUCAACCUUUCUGGCUUUUGCUAGUCAGGCUUGGAUUAUGGGAGCUGCUGGCUUUUGAAGUCGGCUCUUCUAAAAUGUAUUAGCAAGAUCAUUGCUGCUCAUCAUUGGUAUGAUAAUUAUCUAUAUCAUUGAGAGACAGUUUCCUUUAUUGGAAGAUUUUGCUCCUAACGGUCUUUAGCAAGACAACAUUUGACGAUUUUGACCUCAAAUCAGGUAGGACUACCCGCUGAACUUAAGCAUAUCAAUAAGCGGAGGA